rnacentral:rRNA from 1 species
AACGAACGCUGGCGGCAGGCUUAACACAUGCAAGUCGAGCGCUGUAGCAAUACAGAGCGGCGCACGGGUGAGUAACACGUGGGAACAUGCCUUUCGGUUCGGAAUAACUCAGGGAAACUUGUGCUAAUACCGGAUACGCCCUUACGGGAAAGAUUAUUGCCGAAAGAGUGGCCCGCGUUGGAUUAGCUAGUUGGCGGGGUAAAAGCCCACCAAGGCGACGAUCCAUAGCUGGUCNGAGAGGACGACCAGCCACACUGGGACUGAGACACGGCCCAGACUCCUACGGGAGGCAGCAGUGGGGAAUCUUGGACAAUGGGGGAAACCCUGAUCCAGCCAUGCCGCGUGAGUGAUGAAGGCCCUUAGGGUUGUAAA